rnacentral:rRNA from 1 species
UACGGGGGGGGCAAGCGUUGUUCGGAAUUACUGGGCGUAAAGGGCUCGUAGGCGGCCAACUAAGUCAGACGUGAAAUCCCUAGGCUCAACCUAGGAACUGCGUCUGAUACUGGAUGGCUUGAAUCCGGGAGAGGGAUGCAGAAUUCCAGGUGUAGCGGUGAAAUGCGUAGAUAUCAAGUGGAACACCAGUGGCGAAGGCGAGUCCCUGGACAACUCCUGACACUGAGGCACGAAAGCUAGGGGAGCAAACAGG